rnacentral:rRNA from 1 species
GACGAACGCUGGCGGCGUGCUUAACACAUGCAAGUCGAACGGAAAGGCCCUGCUUUUUUGGGGUUCUCGAGUGGCGAACGGGGGAGUAACACGUGAGUAUCGUGCUCUUGACUUUGGGAUGAGUUCAGGAAACUGGGGCUAAUACCGGAUAGGAGCUCCUGCUGCAUGGAGGGGGGUGGAAAGUUUCGGCGGUUGGGGUUGGACUCGCGGCUGAUCGGCUUGUUGGUGGGGUAGUGGCUUACCCAGGAUUGGGCGGGUAGCCCGCCUGUGAGCGGGGCCGGCGACAAUGGUACUGCGAUACGGCGCAGACUCCAACGUGAGGCAGCAGUGGGGAACAUUGCCCAGUGGGACGACGCCUGAUGCAGCAACGCCCCGUGCGGGAUGACCGCCUUUUGGUUGUAAACCGCUUUCGCCUGAUACGACGCGUGAGUGACGGUAAUGGGUAAAGAAGCACCGGCUAACUACGUG